rnacentral:ncRNA from 1 species
AUAUUGUUGCGAUAAUAAUCCUGUUCAGUACGAGAGGAACCGCAGGUUCAGACAUUUAGUUCAUGUGCUUGGCCGAUCAGCCAAUGCUACGAAGGAAUUUGAGGAAUGACGACUAAACGUCUCUAAGUUAGAAUCGCACGUAGACAAGGUAAUGACAAAUUUGCUCCCCGAUAUCCGGAAGCACUAUUCUGUAAUUAACGAUUUAUUCGUUUUAUUAUAGUUAAUGCCUCAUUAUAUGGUCUUGCUACUUAAUCGAAUGGUUAAGUGGUUGCCAAAACCGGAUUACAAUUCAAGGUGCAAAAUCACUUGUAGGCGAUUUGAUUAUUGGUCAAGGUUGUUAUUAGCAGUACAGCAACCUUCAUAUUGUGAUCUGUUGAGACUUAUCCUUUGAUUGGACGAUUU